rnacentral:tmRNA from 1 species
GGGGCCGUAAUGGCUUCGACAGGGAGGGAUGCAAACUCACUGCGAGCCGGAGCGCACUGGACUCCGUGAUCAAAGUGCAAAACAAUAAAUGCCAACGAGCAGACACCUGCUCUGGCGAUGGCUGCGUAAGUAGCCUAAGCCAAGCUGACCCCUUGCGAGGGGUCACGUCCGCCUCAGUUUGACAGCGUCGGCUGAGUUCCGGGCGUCAUAAAGGCGCUGGUGCGGUGCUCGCCGGUCUCCGGGCAGCACCUAAGACCAAAAGGGAGACUAGCCCCCAGCCGAGCCUGCCGGUUGGCGCGGGGCGGGGCGAAACAUGCAAUAAACCGGCUACGCUCGUAGACGUGAGGGCGCGAACUUUCUGGACGGGAGUUCGAUUCUCCCCGGCUCCACUG